GCCGCAAGGCUAAAAUUCAAAGGAAUUGACGGGGGCCCGCACAAGCGGCGGAGCAUGCGGAUUAAUUCGAUGCAACGCGAAGAACCUUACCAAGGCUUGACAUGGACCGGAUCGCUGCAGAGAUGUAGUUUCCCUUCGGGGCUGGUUCACAGGUGGUGCAUGGUUGUCGUCAGCUCGUGUCGUGAGAUGUUGGGUUAAGUCCCGCAACGAGCGCAACCCUUGUCCUAUGUUGCCAGCACGUAGUGGUGGGGACUCAUGGGAGACUGCCGGGGUCAACUCGGAGGAAGGUGGGGAUGACGUCAAAUCAUCAUGCCCCUUAUGUCUUGGGCUUCACGCAUGCUACAAUGGCCGGUACAGUGGGUUGCGAUACUGUGAGGUGGAGCUAAUCCCUAAAAGCCGGUCUCAGUUCGGAUCGAAGUCUGCAACUCGACUUCGUGAAGUUGGAGUCGCUAGUAAUCGCAGAUCAGCAAUGCUGCGGUGAAUACGUUCCCGGGCCUUGUACACACCGCCCGUCAAGUCACGAAAGUCGGUAACACCCGAAGCUCACGGCCCAACCCCUUGUGGGAGGGAGUGGUCGAAGGUGGGACCGGCGAUUGGGACUAAGUCGUAACAAGGUAGCCGUACCGGAAGGUGCGGCUGGAUCACCUCCNNAAU
rnacentral:rRNA from 1 species